rnacentral:tRNA from 1 species
AAGGGAGACCUAAUUCAGGUAUGGGACGAAAAAAAAGUAGUCGCUACCAAGAAUCAAUCCCAAAAGGUCGGAGCGAGGUAUGAGGCUUUCAAACUAGGUUCUGGGUUCAAACAAGACCUGAAUCAGGAACAAGGGCUAUUAGCUCAGGUGGUUAGAGCGCACCCCUGAUAAGGGUGAGGUCCCUGGUUCGAGUCCAGGAUGGCCCACCUGCACAGGUGGCAAAAACAAGAGAAGCGAGGAAUCAGCACCUUAUCUUAUCUAUAUAUAUAUAUAGGAGAGAAUGCUGGCUCUGAGUAAAGAGUCCAGAGGAACCUUGAAAACUGCAUAGAGCUAGGUGAAAAAGCCAAAAAAGAAGACCGCAAGGUCAAGCUAAUAAGGGCUAACGGUGGAUACCUAGGCAC